GACAGAGGUGGCGAGCGUUGUUCGGAUUUAUUGGGCGUAAGGCGCGCGUAGGUGGUUCAGCAAGUUGGAUGUGAAAGCCCUGGGCUCAACCUGGGAACUGCAUCCAAAACUACUGAGCUAGAGUACGGUAGAGGGUAGUGGAAUUUCCUGUGUAGCGGUGAAAUGCGUAGAUAUAGGAAGGAACACCAGUGGCGAAGGCGACUACCUGGACUGAUACUGACACUGAGGUGCGAAAGCGUGGGGAGCAAACA
rnacentral:rRNA from 1 species